rnacentral:rRNA from 1 species
UACGAAGGGGGCUAGCGUUGCUCGGAAUUACUGGGCGUAAAGGGCGCGUAGGCGGACAGUUUAGUCAGGGGUGAAAGCCCAGGGCUCAACCUUGGAAUUGCCUUUGAUACUGACUGUCUUGAGUUCGGGAGAGGUGAGUGGAAUGCCGAGUGUAGAGGUGAAAUUCGUAGAUAUUCGGCGGAACACCAGUGGCGAAGGCGACUCACUGGCCCGAUACUGACGCUGAGGCGCGAAAGCGUGGGGAGCAAACAGG